ensembl:lncRNA
AUGCAAAUUUUCCUGAAAAACAACUUGGAAUUGGAAUUUGACAUGAGGAUGACAAGCGAAACACAACAUCCUGGCAGGUUUAAGGAUGGGAUCAGUGGGAAGAGCAUGCACCACUCAUGUUCUGGGCUUAAUGUCACCAUGGACAAAAGAACUCCCUUAGAGGCUCCUACCCAUUCAGCAGAGCUUGCCAAGAAAUGCAGCAAUAUUACAGAAUAAAUCAUGAGUGUAUUUGGUCAUUGCUUUUCUGCAGUACCUUGAAUGAACCUUUGGAAAAAUUAAUCACUGUGAUAGGUUAAUAUUUGUAUAGAUUUUUUUUUUCUUUUCUUUUUUUUUCUUUUCUUUUCUUUUCUUUUCUUUUCUUUUCUUUUCUUUUCUUUUCUUUUCUUUUCUUUUUUUUUUCUCUGUGAUCGUAUCAAAUGCUUUGGAAUGAUUUAGAGUGGAACAAACUAACUAAUUACGAUGUUCUGAUGCUUGUGUCGUUGUUUUCCCUCCAAAAAGUGACGUCUCUUCCUGGAAAAUGGAUGCCAUUAAAGUCACCUUUAUUUAUAUAGUGCUUUAAACAAAACAGAUUGUGUCAAAGCAACUGAACAACAUUAAUUAGGAAAACAGUGUGUCAAUAAUGCAAAAAGGAAUAGUACACUCAAAAAUGAAAAACUGCUGAAAGCGUGUUCACCCUCAGGCCAUCUGAUAUGUAGAUGAGUUUGUUUCUUCAUGGGAACAGAUUUGGAGAAAUUUAGUAUUACAUUUCUUGCUCACCAAUGGAACCUCUGCAGUGAAUGGUUGCUGUCAGAAUGAGAGUCCAAACAGCUGAUAAAAACAUCACAAUAAUCCACGAGUACCUUGCUUGAUCUGUACAUAUUUCUCUCCUGAUUCAAUGUAAUGAUAAAUUUCACCAAAUUUGUUCUGAUUAAGAAACAAAUUUUUAAAUUUUCAGCAACUUUUUUUUUUCCUUUAAUGAACUAAAAUGAUUUUAUGAAAUUCAAAGAUGAUGGAAAGUGCAUAUUAAUCUUUACAUUAAUGAAAAACUAUAUUCCCUUGCUUUGUUUGAAAUAUUUUGAUUGAAUAAAGGAAAAAUGAGACAGAGAGACA